CCUACGGGAGGCAGCAGUGGGGAAUAUUGCACAAUGGGGGAAACCCUGAUGCAGCGACGCCGCGUGAGUGAAGAAGUAUUUCGGUAUGUAAAGCUCUAUCAGCAGGGAAGAAAAUGACGGUACCUGAUUAAGAAGCCCCGGCUAACUACGUGCCAGCAGCCGCGGUAAUACGUAGGGGGCAAGCGUUAUCCGGAUUUACUGGGUGUUAAGGGGGCGUAGACGGCAGCACAAGUCUGGAGUGAAAUGCCGGGGCUUAACCCCGGAACUGCUUUGGAAACUGUGCAGCUAGAGUGCAGGAGAGGUAAGUGGAAUUCCUAGUGUAGCGGUGAAAUGCGUAGAUAUUAGGCAGAACACCAGUGGCGAAGGCGGCUUACUGGACUGUAACUGACGUUGAGGCUCGAAAGCGUGGGUAGCAAACAGGAUUAGAUACCCGAGUAGUC
rnacentral:rRNA from 1 species